rnacentral:rRNA from 1 species
GACGAACGCUGGCGGCGUGCUUAACACAUGCAAGUCGAACGAAGUGGCGAACGGGUGAGUAAUACGUGAGUAACCUGCCCUCCUUUUUGGGAUAAGCCUUGGAAACGGGGUCUAAUACCGCAUAAAGGGGGAUGGGCUCGCGGCCUAUCAGCUUGUUGGUGGGGUGAUGUCCUACCAAGGCGGUGACGGGUAGCCGGCCUGAGAGGGUGACCGGGCACAUGGUGACUGAGAUAAGGCCCAGAGUAGUACGGGAGGCAGCAGUGGGGGUUAUGGAACAAUGGGCGAAAGACUGAUGCAGCGACGGUGCGUGGGGGAUGAAGGCUUUCGGGUUGUAAACCUCUUUAGCUAUCGAACGGGUAGGUAGAGAAGAAGCGACGGCUAACUACGUGCCAGCAGCCGCGGUAAUUC